UGUUUUUAGGUGAUGAUAGCUCUCAGUGGCAGUUUGUUAGACGUUUCUAUACCCACCAGUCAGUCACUGGCACUCCAUCAUAUCUUGAAUACACUGAAAUCAAUAUACAGUUAACCAGUCGUGGUCACAUUCAGUCUCCUUAUCUUAGACUGUCCUAUCAGGCUAUACCUACCAAUGAUGCACAAGCUUCAUUUGUUGUUAGAUACAGUGGAGGAAACAAUGCUUUUAAUAUUGCUUUAUUAACUUUUAUUUAUCUGGUUGUAGUCCUUUGUUCCAUGUUGUCCUUUUCGUUUUGUUCCUGGUCUCCAUUUCCUCUAAAUUUUGGUUGUUAUUCUACAAGCUACAAGUGACCCUUCUCCUAAUGCUCCCUCUCACCUCCCAAAAAACAACCUUCACACACUCCUGACUCUCUUUUGCUCCGUCCAAAUAAUUUACCUUAUAUGGAAACAGACCUCUGUUAGGAUAUUCCUCAUUGACUGGGAGAAACCAAAAGGGGCGGGACAGGCAAAGGACACAACUGUGCCCAUCACAUCAACAGUGAGCAUCUGGAGGACAUAUUUUGUGGCAAAUGAGUGGAACGAAAUUCAAACUAAUCGUAAAUUGAAUUCUUUUUGUUUUGAUGUUGUCGCUGCUGUUUCUGGAGAUUAUUGGUUUGGGCAAUUUUGCCAAGAGGAAUCCAAAUAAAAAUGUGACCACACCCACUGAGCGAUACACUGCUCCUCAUAGCUCAGUACUAAGGAUUGGACUGGCCAUUAUUGUGUACUUGUUGAUAGCUGGAUGAAAAGGAAAGAAUUCUCUAUUUAAAAAAUUUUUUCAGAUACAUAUAUGUAAAAAUUAUAACAGUAGCAAAUUUGAUUAUGUCUCUUGCAAUGUUGAUGUUACAGAGGAAUUUGAAAUGAUUGUAUUAUCUUUAAACUUGUCA
rnacentral:lncRNA from 1 species